GAAAAGAAACCAACAGGGAUUCCCCUAGUAACGGCGAGUGAAGCGGGAAUAGCUCAAAUGUAGAAUCGUACCGGGGGAACCCGUUUACGAAUUGUAAUUUGAUGGGGUGUGCUUGGCGGACGCCUGGGUCUAAGUACCUUGGAAAAGGACAUCAUAGAGGGUGACAAUCCCGUCUAUGGCCUGGCGUGCGGUCUGUCGUGUAAGCCACCUUCAAAGAGUCGGGUUGUUUGGGAAUGCAGCCCUAAGCGGGUGGUAAAUUCCAUCUAAAGCUAAAUAUUCGUGGGAGACCGAUAGCGAACAAGUACCGUGAGGGAAAGUUGAAAAGCACUCUGGAGAGAGAGUCAAACAGCACGUAAAAUUGUUAACAGGGAAACGUUGUGUCCCAGUACGCGCCUUUCGUGAAAUCAACCAUCCUUUCCCCAACGGUUUGCCCUGGAGGAGUGAACCCCUUAAAAGGUCACUUUCUAGGGCGUGCCGGAGGGGGGUGGUGCACUUUUGCGUAGGCGGGUCAACGUCGGUUAGGAUCGUGGUAUAAGGCCCCAAGGAAGGUAGGUUCGAAUUUCGGUUUGAACAACUUAUAGCCUUGAGGAACCCACCGUGGUCCUGACCGUGGCUUGCGACCCAUGCUUCCCUCGGGAGGCAGGUCCCUUGGAGGUUCGGUGGUAUCCUUUCCCAAGACAGCUUGCUGACUUGGGUUUGACGUAUACUUCGAUUUCCCUUCAAGUAGGAUUCUCAUGGGUUAAAGACGUUGGCGAAAUGGGCCUCAACGACCCGUCUUGAAACACGGACC
rnacentral:rRNA from 1 species